rnacentral:rRNA from 1 species
UACGAAGGGUGCAAGCGUUAAUCGGAAUUACUGGGCGUAAAGGGUGCGUAGGCGGUUCGUUAAGUCUGUCGUGAAAUCCCCGGGCUCAACCUGGGAAUGGCGAUGGAUACUGGCGAGCUAGAGUGUGUCAGAGGAUGGUGGAAUUCCCGGUGUAGCGGUGAGAUGCGUAGAGAUCGGGAGGAACAUCAGUGGCGAAGGCGGCCAUCUGGGACAACACUGACGCUGAAGCACGAAAGCGUGGGGAGCAAACAGG